AACUGCGAAUGGCUCAUUAAAUCAGUUAUCGUUUAUUUGAUAGUACCUUACUACUUGGAUAACCGUGGUAAUUCUAGAGCUAAUACAUGCUGAAAACCCCGACUUCGGAAGGGGUGUAUUUAUUAGAUAAAAAACCAACGCCCUUCGGGGCUUCUUGGUGAUUCAUAAUAACUUUACGGAUCGCAUGGCCUUGCGCCGGCGACGGUUCAUUCAAAUUUCUGCCCUAUCAACUUUCGAUGGUAAGGUAUUGGCUUACCAUGGUUUCAACGGGUAACGGGGAAUUAGGGUUCGAUUCCGGAGAGGGAGCCUGAGAAACGGCUACCACAUCCAAGGAAGGCAGCAGGCGCGCAAAUUACCCAAUCCCGACACGGGGAGGUAGUGACAAUAAAUACUGAUACAGGGCUCUUUUGGGUCUUGUAAUUGGAAUGAGUACAAUUUAAACCUCUUAACGAGGAACAAUUGGAGGGCAAGUCUGGUGCCAGCAGCCGCGGUAAUUCCAGCUCCAAUAGCGUAUAUUAAAGUUGUUGCAGUUAAAAAGCUCGUAGUUGAAACUUGGGUCUGGCUGGCAGGUCCGCCUCACCGCGUGUACUUGUCCGGCCGGGCCUUCCUUCUGGAGAACCUCAUGCCCUUCACUGGGCGUGUUGGGGACCAGGACUUUUACUUUGAAAAAAUUAGAGUGUUCAAAGCAGGCCUUUGCUCGAAUACGUUAGCAUGGAAUAAUAGAAUAGGACGUGCGUUCCUAUUUUGUUGGUUUCUAGGAACGCCGUAAUGAUUAAUAGGGACAGUCGGGGGCAUCAGUAUUCAAUUGUCAGAGGUGAAAUUCUUGGAUUUAUUGAAGACUAACUACUGCGAAAGCAUUUGCCAAGGAUGUUUUCAUUAAUCAGUGAACGAAAGUUAGGGGAUCGAAGACGAUCAGAUACCGUCGUAGUCUUAACCGUAAACUAUGCCGACUAGGGAUCGGGCGAUGUUCUUUUUCUGACUCGCUCGGCACCUUACGAGAAAUCAAAGUUUUUGG
rnacentral:rRNA from 1 species